UUCUGUAAGAGUUUGAUCCUAGCUCAGGAUGAACGCUGGCGGCGUGGAUAAGGCAUGCAAGUCGAAUGGCUGUACCUCACUGGGUUCGGUACAGCCCGCAGAAAUUCGCAGAUUAAACGCAGACAUCGCAGAAUUUAAUGCAAUUGCGCAUUUUCUUCUGCGUACUUCCGCGUUUGUUCUGCGUUGUUCUGCGGGCUACACCGAGCAUAGCGAGGUGCAGCCAUGGCAGACGAGGUAGUAACACGUAGGAACGAACCCCGUAGUCAGGGAUAACCCGUCGAAAGACGGACUAAUACUUGAUACACUCGCGAGAGGAAAGACAUGCCUAACGGCAGUCGCUAUGGGAUCGGCCUGCGACGUAUCAGCUAGUUGGUAGGGUAAUGGCCUACCAAGGCUAUGACGCGUAGGGGAGGUGAGAGCCUGACCCCCACCGAUGGGACUGCGACACGGCCCAUACACCUACGGGUGGCUGCAGUCGAGAAU
rnacentral:ncRNA from 1 species